CAGUAGUCACGAGUUUGAUCAUGGCUCAGGAUGAACGCUAGCGGCAGGCUUAACACAUGCAAGUCGAGCGCCCCGCAAGGGGAGCGGCAGACGGGUGAGUAACGCGUGGGAACGUGCCCUUUGGUUCGGAAUAGCCUCGGGAAACUGGGAGUAAUACCGGAUACGGUCGAGAGACGAAAGAUUUAUCGCCGAAGGAUCGGCCCGCGUUGGAUUAGGUAGUUGGUGGGGUAAAGGCCUACCAAGCCGACGAUCCAUAGCUGGUUUGAGAGGAUGAUCAGCCACACUGGGACUGAGACACGGCCCAGACUCCUACGGGAGGCAGCAGUGGGGGAAUCUUAGACAAUGGGGGAAACCCUGAUCUAGCCAUGCCGCGUGAUCGAUGAAGGCCUUAGGGUUGUAAAGAUCUUUCAGUGGGGAAGAUAAUGACGGUACCCACAGAAGAAGCCCCGGCUAACUCCGUG
rnacentral:rRNA from 1 species